rnacentral:rRNA from 1 species
GUGUCAGCCGCCGCGGUAAUACAGAGGGUGCGAGCGUUGUCCGGAAUCACUGGGCGUAAAGGGCGCGUAGGCGGGUGAUCAAGCGUGCGGUGAAAGCUCGGGGCUCAACUCCGAGUCGGCCGUGCGAACUGGUUGUCUAGAGUCUGGUAGAGGUCGAUGGAAUUCCGGGUGUAGCGGUGGAAUGCGUAGAGAUCCGGAAGAACACCGGUGGCGAAGGCGGUCGACUGGGCCAGUACUGACGCUGAUGCGCGACAGCGUGGGGAGCAAACAGGAUUAGAAACCCGCGUAGUCC